CCAGCAACCGUCAGCCUUAGUUGUGACCUGCAAAGCUGCAAUUUGCAACACUUUCCCAGUCACCCCUUAACCAAAGCAAAGCUCAGAAUUCAGGUGCAGCGCCGCCUCCCCCUUACCCACUCGGAAGAUCAGAUCGUCUUCGAUGGGAUUCUCUUUUCGUUUGCCGGUGCUGUACAUGCUGGCGGGUCUCUUCACCGCCUUCUGUUUCACAUGGCCGCUCCCCGGGGACUUCACGCGCCUCUUCACGCCCUCGGUGGUGGGGGACACGUCCGCCGACCGGAUCACCUUCAGCUUAAACGGGCUGCCGCGGAUGUGCUGGUCGUAGAGCCGCAGGGACAGGGUGAAGUCGCCCUCUUUCUGUACUGUGUACAGGAACUCGUACGUGCCGUUCUUGUUGUCCAGGAUCUCCCCGUCCGCCACGCUGCCGUCGGGAGUGCUCAGCUCCGCCGUGAUGUAGGCGUUGCCCGUUUUGCACAGCUCGCCAUCUUUGUCCUUGGUUGUUAUGGUAACGGACAUGGGCUGCCCGAUGAUGGUCUGCCGCAGCCCCUCGCCCGUGGCCACCGUCUCGGAGGCGACGGCGUUGGUGGUUAAAAUCGUCCCGAGGUUGUGGAUGGACUUCUUGAGCCCCUCGGUCUCCACGAUGAAGUCCAGCUGGUCGUUUUCUCGCGGGUGCAGCGGAAAAUCCUGGUCCGCCAGUUCGUUCAGCUUCUCGCUCAUCUGCUUCUUCACAAGCAGCACCUCCGUCUCCGUGCCAUGGUUGAGGGCCUGCGCCGUGAAGCUGCUGCAGCUCUUGAUACUCUCCUGCCCCUCAAGCAGAGUAUCCAGCUGCGACUGGAGGACCUGCGGGGAAACCAAGCUGGGUGAGCUCUUCCCAGGGCGCCCGCGCCCGCACCUGCCCGCGCGCUUGGCCCCCGGCAGGGGGUGUUCAGUUUAACCCAGGGAACCCCGGUCUCACGCUGAAUCCUAAAUCGCCUUACCAGCUCCUACUCUUUCCCUUCCUCCUCGCCUGUCUCUCCCACACACAUAUUUAUGGGGUCAUGUGUCUUGGAUAGGCGCAAGCAGAAACGUCACCGACAGCUUGGCAGCCAGAUUGCUAUGCCUGAGAUCUGAAAUUUUAUUCAGUAUUCAGUAUCUUUGUCUAAUGUCCAAAGUUUCCCUGUCACCACCUAAAGGAACAGAAACCAGACAAAUGAAAACUCCACACCUGAAUAUCGGAAGCUUUCAUCCCUGGUUUUGUGAUGGGACAUGCAGAGUUAAACAAAGGCUGCAGUCAGGGUUCUCUCUGAAGUUGACUAACAGGUUGGUGUGGGUGAGAGAGCAAUUAAGAGACUAUUAGACAUUAUAAUUAAGGAAGGAAAACAAUCCAAUUUAACCCUAAAUCCUGAAAGCAUUACUUGAUAUUCAACUUUGCCUUGUGUCAAGUUAUCAAGUGGUACUUAAGGCCACAGAAUCAUAGUUUUGCUGAAAACAGAAGGAAGAAAUAGCUGGAAAAGCCACUAAAUGAAAACUACUGUUUACUGAAUAACAGUGACACUUAACCCAUUUGAGUCCCCUUUACCACUGGUAGAACACAGUAAGCUAGCGCCAGGGAGGCCCCGGAUAGUGCACCUCUCACAGGAUGUCUGUAGGAAAGGGUGGAGUCUUACUUUGUGUUUGAGACCAUAGUUGACUUCCAGCUCCAUAAGCAGCACGCUCUUGCGCACAUUUAAAGUCUUCUGGAGUUCAUCAAAGGUAGAAUGGAUGUCAUCCACAAUGCUGGCCUUUUGGUCGGUUAACUGAUGGAUGAUUUCUGAGAUGAACUGAAGAGCAGAAUCUAUUUCUGGGAGCCUGGAAGACAGUUAUCAGAGGUCGUUAUUAUAAUAAGAUCCACACGGAAAUAGUAAAAAAAAAAAAAAUCUAUCCAAACACUAUAUUUUGUCAAGAAAUAUCUUCUGUGCCUUUCAUCAUCUUUAAAAAGUAAUAACUGAAGAACAGAGUGAGUAAGACAUGACAUAAUUACUGCCUUUGAGAGAAGAGAUUUUGAGGGUCCACAUCUAUUUCAAUCUACCUCAAUCAUUUAAUUUUAAAAAUUGAUGGUACAAAGCCUCGAAGCUCUCAGAACCCCAUGGCUUUUUCUCACACUCUAAAUCAGCUGUUCUCUACAAUGGAUAAACAACAAGGUCCUACUGUAGAGCACAGAGAACUAUAUUCAAUAUCCUGUGAUAAACCACAAUGGAAAGGAAUUUUUUUAAAAAGAAUGUAUAUAUAUAUAUAUAUAUAUAUAUAUAUAUAUAUAUAUGUAUGUAUAACUGAAUCACUUUGCUGUACAGCAGCAAUUAACACAACAUUGUAAAUCAACUAUACUUCAAUAAAAAAAAUAAGAAGAAAAAGAAAAAAUAAAUAAAUCAGGCGUUCUCUAACUUGACAUAUUGAUAUUUUGGGCCAGAUAAUUCUUUGUUGCAGGUGGCUGUCCUGUGAAUUGUAGGAUGUUUAACAGCAUCCUUUCCUCUACCCCUCCCCCCCACACAGUUGUGACACCAAAUUGUCUCCAGGCAUUGCCAAAUGUCCCUUGGGGGGUAUCAUCGCCCUUGGUUGAGGACCACUGGUCUAAAUAUAUAGCUGUAUCUUUUUACCCAAUCACAUGAAAAGCUUAUCCAAACUCAGAGUUUCCUGGGAAUUUCUUGCAAGUUUCCAAGUUCUUUUAAUUAGUAUAGAAUAGCCACACUUUUCUCACUUCAACUUUUGGUAAAGAGAUUUAUUUUCAUUUUGCUGUUUAUUUCCUCUCUUUGGUCUUUCUCAUGCAUCACACAGCUACUCUGUUCCUUCAUUUCCAUGCCAAAUAAAGAGCCUGGAAGCAGGGAAGGAGAAGGAAAAUUGAGCACUUGCUGCUCAGGACCAUUCUGCUGGGCUCAAACAGAGAUGAGCCAGUCACAGUCGGCACAGUGGCUUGUAAGUGUGUCAAGAACAGUAGCUAAGAAAGGCUCUUCAGACAGCCUGGUUUCAGGCACAAAUUUCAGAGAUCUCCUGAGAGUGUAUUUUCCUCGAGUACAUUUUGUUCAUUUAAUCAUACUAAGGUACUAAAAGGAAAACCACCACUCAUAACAAAAGGGGGUUGGAAUUUUACCAAGGGGCAGGGGAUGACCCUCAUCACUCACUAGUUUAUGACUACAGGCCUAUGAUCAAAGGACAAUUUAUUUAAGUGUCAUGAAUCUUCUAUCCCACUGGGACACGAGACCCUGAGGCCACAGGCGGCCAGUCAGGAGCCAGGCAGAGGUAUGCACACCUUUUGUUGACAGCGUCCAGCUGGACCUGGAGUGAGGCCUUGUGCUGCUCCACCACGUCCUUGAGGGGGACUGUGGGGUGUUCCGCGUGCUCCCCCUCCGUGCACUCCCGACACAUGGCGGUCUCGCAGGACUGGCAGUAAAAGUCCAUCACCUGCGGGUGACACAAGAGCAAUUCCAGGUUUGGUGCCAGUGACUGAGUGCUGACCAUGCACUAGGCCUUCACUUGCACUCUCUCAGUGAAUUUUCACAGCCUCCCCAGGAUGUGGGCAGUAUUAUAUCCAGGUUCACAGGAGAAGAGGAAAGACAAACUUUUAUGUUCCAGGUCUUGAACAGAGGUGGAUCGGACUCCAAAGCUGUUGCUAUGGCCACAAAACCAGCUUUUCUUGGCCACUCCCCUAAGGCAGAACAGUAUAGGCCUUUGGUGCUCAAACUUUUUGGUCUCAGGACCCCUUUCCACUCUUUAUACAUGAUUGAGGAUUCCGAAUGCUUUGUGUUUAUAUGAGUUAUAUCUAUAGCUAUUUAUUAUGUUAAAAAUGGAAACUGAGAAACAUUCAAAAUAUUGAUUAAUUUAUCAAAAGCAAAAAUAAAUGUUAACAUUAAUAAUAUAAUUUAUGAAAAGUAUAUUUUGCAAAACAAAAAAUUUUGUGAGGAGAAUGGCAUUGCUUUUCAUAUUUGUAAAUCUCUUCAGUGUCUGGCUUCAUAGAAGACAGCUGGAUUCUCAUAUCUGCUUCUGUAUUCAAUCUGUUUUGCUAGCACACAUAGUAGAGUCUCUGGAAAAUGCCACUGAAUACUCUUGAGAGGUUGAGAGUAAAAAAGGUAAAUAAUGUUUUAGUAUUAUCAUAAAUAUAGUUUUGACCUUGUGGAUCCCCUGAAAGGGUCUGGAGACCCAUGAGAGUUCCUGGAUUGCACCUUGAGAACGGCUACUGUUUGGAUAAGAGAUGAGCUGGAUGCAACAGUUUGCAUCCUGGCUCCACCACUUACGUGACCUCACCGUGUCUCAAUUUUCGCUUUGGCAAAUGGAGACAGUCGUGUAACGUACUAACCUACUUCAUAGGGCUGCUAUGAGGAUUUGGUAGAUUAAUAGGCACAAAGAACUCAGAUGAUGCCUGGCACUGGCACGUAGUAAGUUCUUAAUAAGUAGUAGCAGUGAUGAUGGCGCUGAUGAUAUCAUUUGCUUACCUGAAAAUAAAACCACCUGACCCUGACUGUGGUGAACUCUCGGUAUCAAUAUAACAUAAAGCCUGAAGGUUAGUUUCCUUGUGAAGGCAUUCCCCUUAUUCUCUCAGCUGGAAAUAACUUCUCCAAUAUUGAAUUCCCAAAGCACUUGGGGUGGGGGGGAAUCUUUUUCUUGAAGUAUAACACACAUACAGAAAAUGGCAUAAAUCCUAACACAGAUUGAUGGAUUUUCAUAAAGUGAAUGCACCCACUAAAGCAAUUUUAUUCAUACCCCUUUUAUGAAAUAUUUAUAAGAUUUUAAGUUACUGAGCACUGCAACUCUCUCACCCAGAGCCUAGGUAACUCCCUGCACAUAGUACGUCUAUAAUAACAUUGCUGAAUGUGUGAACUCUAUGCUGUUUAUAAGAGACUCACAUUAGGUUGAAAGUAAAAAGAUGGAAAAAGAUAUUCCAUGCAAAGAGUAACCAAAAGAGAGCUGGAGUAGCUAUUCUAAUAUUAGACAAAACAGGCUUUAAGACAAAAGUUGUUAUAACAGACAGAAAAGGACAUUAUCAACUAUACUUCAAUUAAAAAAAGGACAUUAUAUAAUAAUAAAAUGGUAAAUCCAUCAAGAAGAUAUAACAAUUAUUAAUAAAUAUGUAACCAACAACAGAGUCCUAAUAUAUAUGAAGCAAAAACUGACAGAAUUGAAGGGAGAAAUGGAGAGUUCAAUAAUAAUAGUUGGAGAUUUCAAUAUUCCACUUUCAAUAAUGAUACAAUUAUUAGACAGAAGAUCAGUAAAGAAAUAGAGAACUUGAACAACAUUAUAAACCAACUAGGCCUAACACACACAUGUGGAACGCUCUGUUCAAUAACAGAAGACACAUUUUUGUCAAGUACACACGGAACAUCUUCCAGAAGAAACCAUACAUUAGGUCACAAAAGUCUCAAUAAAUUUAAAAAGACUGAAGUCAUAUAAAGUAUCUUCUCUGGCUACAGUAGAAUGAAAGUAGAAAUCAAUAACAGAAGGAAAUGUGGAAAAUUAACAAAUAUGUGGAAAUUAAAUAACACAAACAAUGAGUCAAAGAAGAAAUUACAAGGGAAAGUACAAAAUAUUUUGAGAUGAAUAAAAACACAACAUAUCAAAACUUAUGACAGUGCUCAGAGCAAAAUUUAUAGUUGUAAAUGUCUACAUUAAAAAGAAGAUCUCAAAUCAAUAACCUAGGCUUCCACCUUAGAGAAUUAGAAAAAGAAGAACAAAUUAAACCCAAAGCAAACGGAAGAAAGGAAAUAAAGAUUAGUGUGGAGAUCAAUAAAAUGGAGAAUAGAAAAACAAUAGAGAGAAUCAAUGAAGCCAAAAGUUGGCUCUUUGUAAGAAUCAACAAAAUUGACAAAUAGAAUACUAUGGACUGUUGUAUGUCAACAAAUCAAAUAACCUAGAUAAAAUGGAUAAAUUCCUAGAAACACACAAACUACCAAAACUAACUCAGAGAAGAAAUAGAACAUAUGAAUAGACCUACAAUAAGUAAAGAGAUGAAUCAAUAUUCAAAAAACCUCCAACAAAGAAAAGUCCAGGGCGAGAUGGCUUCACUGGUGAAUUCUACCAAACAUUUAAAGAAGAAUUAACACCAAUCCCCAAACUCUUCAAAAAAUAGAAGAGAAGGGAACAUUUCCUAAUUCAUUAGGCCAGUAAUAUACUGACACCAAAGUCAAAGACAUCACACAAGAAAAGAAAAUUAAAGACUAAUAAUCCCUAUGAAUGUAGGUGCAAAAAUCCUUAACAAAAUACUAGUAAACUGAACCCAGCUGCAUAUUAAAAAGAUUAAACACCAUGACCAAAUGGGAUUUAUUCCAGGAAUGCAAGGGUGGUCCACAUACAAUAAUCAAUAUAUGUAAUACACCACGCUAAUAAGAUGAAGGGGAAGAAUCCCACAUGAUCAGAUCAGUAAAUACAGAAAAAGGAUUUGACAAUACCCAACACCCUUUCAUGAUAAAAAAUAAAACAAAACAAAAAACACAUCAAAUUAGAAAUAGAAGGAAAAUUCCUCAACUUGAAAAACGGCAUCUGCAAAAACCCCACAGCUUACUUAAUGGUGACUCCCUCCUAAGAUCAGGAACAUGACAAGGAUGUCCACUUUUGCCACUUCUAUUCAACAAUGUACUGGAAGUUUUAGCCAGAGCAUAUAAGCAAGAAAAAUAAAAUGCAUCCAAACUGGAAAAGAAGAAGUAAGAAUUUCUCUAUUCAGAGAUGACUUAUAUAUGGAAAAUUCCAAAGAAUGUACACAUGUGUGCACACACACACACACACACACUAUUAGAACUAACAAAUGAAUUCAGCGAAGUUUUAGGAUACAACAUCAACAAACAAAAAUCAGUUGUAUUUCUAUACACUAGCAAUGAACAAUCCAAAAAUGAAAUUAAGAAAAUUCCAUUUAUAAUAGCAUCCAAAAGAAUAUAAAAUACUUAAAGAAUAAAUUUAACAGAAAAGGUACAAGACUUGUACACUGAAAGCUACAAAAUAUUGUUGAAAGAAAUUAAAGAAUACCUAAAUAAUGGAAAUAAAUGGAAAGAUAUCCCAUGCUCAUGAAUUGGAAGACUUAAUAUUGUUAAGGGGGCAAUAUUCCCAAAUUGAUCUAUGGAUUCAAUGAAAUAUCUAUCAAAACCCCAACUUCUUCUUCCACAGAAGUGAACAAGCUGUUCUUAAAAUUUAUAUAAAAUUACACUGGUACCCUGAAUAGCCAAAACAAUCUUCAAAAGAAGAACAAAAUUGGAAACCUCACACUUCCCUAUUUCAAAACUUACUACCAAGCUAGAGUAAUAAAAAUUGUGUGUUACCAGCAUAAGGAUAGGCAUAUAGAUCAAUGGAAUAGAAUUGAGAGUCCAGAAAUAAAACCAUACAUUUAUGGUCAACUGAUUCUUGAAAAGGGUGCCAGGACCACUCAAUGGGGGAAAAGAGGCUUUUCAACAAGGGAUGUCAAGACCACUGGAUAUCUAUGUGUAAAAGAAUGAAGUUGAAACCUUACCUCACUCCAUAUACAAAAAUUAACUCAAAAUAGAUUAACAACCUAAAUGUAAGAGCUAAAACUAUAAAAAUCCUAGAAAAAAAAAAUAGGGUUAAAUUUUCAUGACCUUGGACUUGGCAAUAGAUUCCUAGAUAUGAUACCAAAAACACAAGCAAAAAAAGAAAAAAUAGAUAAAUUGGACUUCAUCAAAUUAAAAACUUGUGUAUCAAAGGGCAGCACCAGGAAAGUAAAAAGAAUGGGAAAAAUAUUUCCUAGUUAUAUAUCUGAUAAGGAUGUAGUAUCCAGAACAUACAAAGAACCCCUGCAACUCAAGAACCCAAUUCAAAAAUUGUCAAAGGAAUUAAAUAGACAUUUCUUUAAAAAGGGUGAACAAAAAUGGCCAAUUUUCACAGGAAAAUUCUAACAUCAUUAGUCACUAGGAAAAUGCAAAUCAAAACCACAGUGAGACACCACUUCACACCAGCUAGGAGGGCUAGACUCAAAAAAUCAGAUAACGAGUAUUGGUGAGAAUGUGAAAAAAUCAGAACUCUCAUACUUUGCUGGUGGGAAUGUAAAAUGGAGUAAUUCUAUGAAAACAGUUGGUGGUUCCUCAAAGGUUAAAUAUUACCAUAUGACCCAGCAACUCCACUCCUAGGUAUCUACCCAAGAGAACUGAAAACGUAUGUCCACACAAAAACCGUACAUGAAUGUUCAUAGCAGCAUUAUUCAUAAUAGCCAAAAGGUGGAAACAACACAAAUAUCCAUCAACUCAUGAAUGGAUAAACAAAUUAUGGUAUAAUAUUUAGCCAUACAAGAAGAAUGAAGUUCUGAUAUACGCUGCAAUAUAGAUGAACCUUGAAAACAUUAUGCUAAGUGAUAGAAGCCAGACUCAAAAGGCCACAUAUUGUAGAAUUCCAUUUAUAUCAAAUGUCCACAAUGGACAAAUCCUUAGAGACAGAAAGCAGGCUGGUGGGUGCCAGGGGUUGGGGUGUCGGGGAGGGGAUGAGGAAUGGCUGCUUAAUAGGUAUGGAGUUUCUUUGGGGGGUAAUGAAAAACUUCUGGAAUUAGAUAGUGGUGAUGUUUGGACAACCUUUUAAAUAUACUAAAAGCCACUGAAUUGUACACUUUAAAGUGGUUAAAAUGUUGAAUUUUAUGUUAAGUGAUUUUAACCUCCAGUUUAAGAAAUUGCAUCUUUGAAGAGAUAGCAACAGACCUGGGUAGUUGUCCCUGGUUCUGUAUCUUGCAUGUUUCCUGGGAAGUAAAGGCCCUGAAAUCAUUUUGAAGCGUCUACAACUAGUCAUUCUCUAAUGCUUGUGCUCAGGUUCUGACAGCUUUGACUCAAGCUGAGACUUCAUUGUGGGAGGUGAGCAACUCAGUUGAACUCAUCCAUCUUGGGUGAGAGGACACUGGUGCUCCCAAGGGUGGGUGGGCCAGAGCCCAGGAUGAGCUUGUUGUUGUUGACAGGUAGUCACCAUCUGUGUUCAUUAGAAGAGGAGAUGGCAGGACUAUAUGCAUAAUAACGUGCUGAAAAGGAUGGUCAGGGCCUUGCAGCCACCACCGCCCACCCCCCCACCAGGCUUUUGGAAGUGGGGGCUGAUUAGUGGCAGGGCAUUCUUAAUGAGGAUCUCUCCUUUGCACCUCUUAACAUGCUUGUUAGGAAGGCACCUAAGCCAGCAACAACAGGGCCUAAAGAUCAUUUGUGUUCUGGGACUUCGAGGCAUGAGCUCAAAUGUCUGCUUUAAGUGCAAAGAACCUCUUAAAUCACUGACGAUUAUUCCCAUUUUUCUUUGUAUUUGAACAAUGCAGCCAUGGCAGUUUAAUUAGAAGACAGAUAGUGUCACAGCACUUAAAGUAAAUGACAGGCUUUCAUCCACAUGUGCUAAUCAGCACCAGGCAGUUUAUGAGGGCAACAUCCUGCUUCAUUGUUAAUUACCCGAUUUUAUCAAAUCGUUUGAAUUGUUUUUAAAGAUUUACCCAUGGCAAUUAACCACAGCCAUUUAUCUGUAAUAUUGCAUGCAUUUGACUUGAAUAUGCAGUGAGGACCCCUGUUUCAGAGCAUCAGCAGAGAACUCCUACAAUCUAUGGUGGAACAAUUGAAUGAUUCAAGACACGCAGUAAAUUUUCCAAGGCCUCUUGCUAGUUUAUACGUUUUAUGAUUCCAAAGACUCAUAAUGACCCAGCAUAGAAAAAGUGCUCAAAACACACUUUAAAUAGCUUCAUUCACCUCCAGGAGGAUCCAACUCUUUAGAGUUAAUUUUUUAUGUGAUUUGAUGUGAUAUGUUUGGUAGAGAAACAGGGAACGUUUCAACCUAAAGGCUUCUUUACCUUUGCUGGAAUUAGCAUCUCUGUGAGUGUUUCUCCUUAGCAGCCUAUGGCAUCCAAGGGUCUCUAUUGCUCAGGCAUGCUCAGGAAAUACAUCUUUAGGAAUUCUUUGUGAAGCUUAACAUUUAUUUUCUCCUAUGAUUAUUAACUGUUUAUAGAUCUCCUGUGAAUUUUUCAAGUUCUAGCCUCAUUUUAUUUUGUGAUAUUCAAUAUUUUUCUUAAUUAGUAAGUAAGUGCUCUUACACGGUAAAAGUUUGCUGGGGUAUUUUAUUUUAUUUAUUUAUUUUUUAAAAAAAAUAUUUAUGUAUUUUGGCUGCGCCGUGUCUUCCUUGCAGCACGCGGGAUCUUCUCUGCGGAAUGCGGGCUCUUAGCGGACUCUUAGUUUCGGUAUUCACGCGGGAUCUAGUUCCCCGAUCAGGGAUCGAACCUGGGUCCCCUACAUUGGGAGAGCGAAGUCCCACCCCUGGACCACCAAGGAAGUCCCUGCUCAGGUGGAGUUCUGUUUCAGUGUAUAUACCCUCUGAUUGACCAAAGCCUCCCCAAAUCGAGCAGCCCCUCGGCCAGGCAGUGCCGGCAAUCCGCUCACUUACAUUCCCAUCGUGGUUUGGGCAAGAGAGAGGCUUCCCCGCAGCCACGGCGGUGACCGUCUCCAGGAUGGAGGACUCCUCAGCACUGCUGCCUGGAGUUCGCUGCAGCACGUCCAUCAGGUUUGUGAUGAAGAAGUUGUUCUGGAGCGCGGCCACCCCCUUCUCGGGCAGGAUGGAGGUCUGGCGGCACACGGGGCAGGAGAGGGUUAGACUGUGGGCGGGAAUGUAGUUCUGCAGGCACCUGUCACAGAAACAGAAGCGGGGCGGUCAGCACAGUGGGGCUCCUGCAGGGGGUACCAGACAGGUUCUCGGUGACUACAGGGCUACUUUGCGUAACUUCCGUCGUGGUCUCCUUCACUAGGAAAAGAUUAGUUCUGAAGUCAGUAAGGUCACCUCACAUUGGACCGGUCAACUGAUCAGAUAAUCUCAUUGAGUUUGGUACUGUUUCCUCGAGCUUUGCCACACAGGCAAAGUGUGGUCCACAGGUGAGCAUCACUGGCCUCAACGGGGAGCGUGGAAGAAACGCAGACUCGCAGGACCCACUCCAGGCCUGAUGAAUCAGAUUCCCAGGCGAUGUGUACGCACAUUUAAGAUUGAGAAGCACUGGCCUAGAAUACCUAGUACGGCGUUCACGAAUUUGUGGACUUUUACACAAACUGGAAGAAACAUGUCACAUUUUAUCUGUUAGCGCUGAAACUCUUUUUACAUACAAAAUCAUAAGCAGAUUUCAGAUGUUAAAAACACAUCGAAGUGGAAAUGUUUUGUUUGAAACAGGGAUGGGACACCCAGAGUCCCACCAACACCAUCUCUUCUUAACAGCCUCUCCUUAAGAGCCAUCAACUUGAUUCAUUUAAUCAGCGAAAUGUAUGGCUAAUACAGUUGACCCUUGAACAACGUGCGAGUUACGGGCGCCGACCCUUGGUGCAGUGGAAAAUCCGAAAAUCCACGUAUGACUCAGAGCCAGCCCUUCAAUUACCCAGUUCCUCCACAUCCGGGAUUCUACACCUGCAGAUUCAACCAACCGCAGAUCUUGUCAUCCUGUAAUACUGACUACUGAAAAGAAUCCGCAUAUAAGUAAACCCAUGCAGUUCAAA